GUGGACAGCCUCCCCAGGGGACACUGAGUCUGUGCUGAGAAGAGCUAGCCUGCAGCUGGCACAAACCCCUUCCAGCCCUGCUAAUUUGCAUAUCCCAAGAGCCCAGCCAGUUACUUGAGGACUUCUUCACAGGCUGCUUGUCUCACCCUGUGCAGCUUCAGUUCUGAUCAGGACACAGCAUGGACAUGAGGGUUCUCAAUCACUUUCUGGGCCUCUUGGUGCUCUGGAUAUCAGGUGCCCAAUGUGACAUCCAGUUGACACAGCCUGCAUCUGCAUCUGCAUCUGUGGGAGACACAGUCAAGAUCAGUUGCCGGGCCAGUCAGAGUGUUAGCAAUAACUUAAACUGGUAUCAGCAGAAACCAGGGCAGGCUCCUAAAAUCCUGAUUUACUAUGCAAACAAUUUACAAUCUGGGAUUCCAUCAAGGUUCAGUGGCAGUGGAUCUGGCACAGAUUAUACUCUCACCAUCACUGGCCUGCAGCCUGAGGACUUUGUAACUUAUUUCUGUCAGCAGUAUUACAGUGACCCUCCCACAGUGAUACAAGCCAUGACAUAAACCUCCCAGGGAAGCAGAAGUGUGAGACUGGGCUGCCCCAGCUGAUCCUCUUUGUGUCUCCAGCUGGGGGCCAAGUUCUUCAGAUGCAUCCAGGCUUUGAAGGUCACUGGAAGGAUUUGGUAGAAGCAUCCAAAAGGCUCCUUCCUUCGCUAACUUCCUUUUAAGCUUCUCACCCCUGAUUUAGUGAAAGAUACCAAUAAAUACACUGAAGUUAUGUGGAUUAUGCCUUCAUUUUGUAUUUACCUGGCAACAGAGAUGCUCUCUGAAUUCCAAGCAAUAAAUUUUAAAAUUUGUA